AAGCGGUGGAGCAUGUGGUUAAUUCGAUGCAACGCGAAGAACCUUACCUGGUCUUGACAUCCACGGAAGUUUUCAGAAAUGAGAAUGUGCCUUCGGGAACCGUGAGACAGGUGCUGCAUGGCUGUCGUCAGCUCGUGUUGUGAAAUGUUGGGUUAAGUCCCGCAACGAGCGCAACCCUUAUCCUUUGUUGCCAGCGGUCCGGCCGGGAACUCAAAGGAGACUGCCAGUGAUAAACUGGAGGAAGGUGGGGAUGACGUCAAGUCCUCAUGGCCCUUAUGGGUAGGGCUUCACACGUCAUACAAUGGUCGGUACAGAGGGUUGCCAAGCCGCGAGGCGGAGCCAAUCCCACAAAGCCGAUCGUAGUCCGGAUUGUUCUCUGCAACUCGAGAGCAUGAAGUCGGAAUCGCUAGUAAUCGCAGGUCAGCAUACUGCGGUGAAUACGUUCCCGGGUCUU
rnacentral:rRNA from 1 species